rnacentral:rRNA from 1 species
AGGAUGAACGCUGGCGGUAUGCUUAACACAUGCAAGUCGUACGGGUGGAACUUGCUCCAUCUAGUGGCGGACGGGUGCGUAACACGUAAGAACCUACCUUUUGGAGGGGGAUAACAUUGGGAAACUGAUGCUAAUACCUCGUAAUACUGAGGAGUUAAAAGCGGGUAUCCUGCAAGGGAGCUACGCGCCAAGAGAGGGGCUUGCGGCUGAUUAGCUAGUUGGUGGGGGUAAUGGCCUCCCAAGGCCACGAUCAGUAGCUGGUCUGAGAGGACGACCAGCCACACUGGGACUGAGACACGGCCCAGACUCUUACGGAGGCAGCAGUGAGGAAUUUUCCACAAUGGGCGAAAGCCUGAUGGAGCAAUCCCGCGUGGAGGAAGAAGGUCUGUGGAUCGUAAUCUCCUUUUCUCAGAGAAGAACAAAAUGACGGUAUCUGAGGAAUAAGCUCCGGCUAACUAUGUGCCAGCAGCCGCGGU